GCUAAAUUCAAGCUAGUGGGCUCAUAACCCAAAAAUGAUGUAAUCUCUUAUUA
rnacentral:tRNA from 1 species